GUGGGUAUAUUAGGUGAUAUGAAUAUAUAUCUACUUUAAUUAUCAAAUCAUAAAUUGUGAGAUAUAUAUUUACUUAUCAAAUUAGAGUCGGUUACAUACACUGUUGAUUCAGUAAAAAACAAAAAAAGAGAUAUAUACAUUUAUUAUUAGUCCAUAUACAUCUAUGUACAUCUCUCCGGAGUGAGGACAUGUUACCUUUAAAAAACAGAAAAAGAAAAACUAGUUGAAAGAAUUAUGCCAAACAAUUUUUUAUUUUAUUUUUUUCUAAAUUCCUUUCGGCAAAAUUGAAAGAAUUAUCAUUGACAUAUCACCAAAAAUUAAAAAAAAAAUCAGUGAUUCACCAAACAAAUAUAUAUAUAUAUUUUAAUUCUAAAUUCAUUUCGGCAAAAUUGAAAGAAUUAUCCCGCAAACACCACCUAAAUAAGCGGGAGAAAAAUUUAAUAGCCAUUGGAUUGAUUCAGGUUACUGUAUAUAUUUGUCACCCUGUAUACAUACAUAUAUCUACAGAUUUUAGGAGAAUCGUGGAAAAGCGGGCGAAGAGAAGCAACGAAGGGAGGUUUUCGUUUCGUGGAAGUAAGCCCUAACGCCUGACAGCCCGGUCGAGUUUGCCAAAUAGUUGGUCCUAGUGUGUAUCUGUAUGCUAUUACUGAGCUUGCCAUAUGGUAUAUUGGAACACGAAGAGGGAGAUGAAAGCAAUUGAACAACGGGACUUGGAGAGGAGGCAGCAAUUUAAUGAACGAGUGACAUCAAAUUAAUGGAUGCAUGAGGUUGGUUGCAUCGAGUAAGUCUCCGCCAUAGCUUUCCUUUCUUUAUCGUGCCUCAAUUUUAUUAAAUACCAAAAGAUAUAUUUUGCUAACAUGUUCUGCCUCCAUUUUAUUAAAUGCCAAAAGAUAUUGUUUGCGUAAAUGUUCUGCCUCUUUUUUGCCUUACCAAGUUUUGGUGUCGUGCUUCCUGUUCUUGCAUUGCAUGCUGGUUUUACGACCUUUUCUCCUUUUUUUCGUAAGGUUUAUUAACUUUAUCAGUUUCAUCAGUACAUGCAUAGUCCAUUGAACAAUGCAUUAUGUAGGGUGUUGACAAUGUGCGACACUAGUCCUGCUGUUACCCUAAUUGGUGGGAGACAUUGAUGUUCGCAAUCAGCCAUGAAUAGUGGUGAAAUAUUAUAGCUGGUAUGCUCAAGUUUAUAGCUUUGUUGCUAAUGGGUGUAGGAAUCUUUCCUUUUGUUUUUACUGUUUCCUUCUCUUGCAUGGAGUUCGCUCAAUCCCACUUCCUAUGAUUUAUGUGUACUUUUGAAAAUAGAUAGAGCUAGGAUCCUGAUAUGGAAGAGCGUUCUCCUUUUAUAUUGUGACACAUACAGAUCGAAGGUGUUCAUAACCCGACCCUCCUGGGAAAUCUAAUGUUAUUUCUGCCUUUUGCAUGAAGGGUUGCCCAUGAUUUGGUAUUUUCAGGGUUGCCUUUAAUUUUGUUAUUGUAUUAUUGAUAGCUUCUAUUAAUAGUUUGCUCAUAACUUAAUUUUUGGUGUUUAAGGAUUUAGUUAAUAAAAAUAUUGUACUUUGUAAGGUGCUGCUUUUUUGUUUUUUUUUUUUUGGUUAAUAGGAAAUUGAAGAGGAAGCAGCAAUUAAGUGAACGGUUUGUCUUAUUCCCUUGAAACUCGGAUCAACCAUGUUUCUUUAUUUUUCCUUAUUUUUCUUUAUUGUUGCUCCUAUGUAUUAAGUGGAUAUAUUUGGAUGAAGCAAUUGUUUAAUUUAAGAAUUAUGCCUUUGAUGCUUCUAGUUGGUAUGCUAGAUUGAAAGUUUUGUUUCAUUUUUAAUGUUUUGAAUCUAUUUGAAGACCUUUAGUUUUUUUUAGCUUUGAUUCAACCCCUCCAUGUGUUCCAAGGUGGCAAGUUAGAUGGUUUUUUUUGCAUCCCAGUACAUGGCGUUUGUAUAAGAAUCUGUGUGAAUAUGUUGACUCAUCGUGGACAUAAAUCAAUUAUAGACCUAGAAGACGCGUUUGACAGGGUUGGUCUUUUAGCAUGAGGCAGCUUUGAAACCAUAAAGCUCCUUUCCCGUCAGGCCUGUACAAAGUUUAAGGACUAAAUGGUUCCCCUUUACACAAUUAUCCUUGAUUCUUUCUCCACCAAGAUCAACUCUUUUAAACUGACAUUUUGGAGCCAAAAUCUAGGAAUUUUGUAGAUCAAGCCCAUCAUAUAGUGAACAAGACCGUGGACUUUUGUGUCCUCUCUACUUCCUUUCCUCGAGUGUUGGACCUUGUUUGACCAAUCUUGUCUGUUGGCUCCGUAAAGUAUGGAUAGUCACGCCAUUUAUUUGUUGUGUUUAGAGUACAUGUAUUAGUUGUGGGACAUUUUAUCGCCCUCUCGUCUUAGGCGUGUAUAAAGUUUGAGGACUUUAAGGUUCCUCUCUACAUAUUUUUCCUCGAUUCGGUCUCCACAAAGAUCAGUUCUUUCAAAAAUGGUUCAACCACUAAUCUUAUGAUGUAUGGACUCGGUUAAAAUGCGUCAAAGCAUGGAUUUCUGGACCCAUCCCGAGCAUUAGACACAGAAUAUGUAUGUCUUAGGGUCAUUACUCAUUACACAGUUUGUCCAUAUGAUCUUCGCGUUACGUUGCUGUACUGAAAAGGUUGGUUCAUAUCGAAUUCAUCGUAGAGUGCCAAAAAUUAUUAUUAUUAUUAUUUUUAUUAUAAAACAUUAUAUUAUUGUAUUAGUUUCAUCUUCUACUACUUGUUCUAAUUGGGUCUUUCUGAUUACAUGUCCCAAUGAUAUCUUAUUUCCCCUUUCAGCAACAGGCGUGGGAAAGACGAUAUAUCCAGCCGCGGGAUAUAGCUUCAGAGCAAUGGUUCUAUUUCGCGAGCACAAGUAAAUUAUGCAUAUUCUUUGAGUUUCCGUGCUAGUAAAUGGAAUUUGAAUAUCAUUUUGAGUUUCCGUGUUAGUAAAUGGAAUUUGAAUAUCAUUUUGAGUU